rnacentral:tRNA from 1 species
GCCCCUGUAAGUUAAUGGAUAGACUGCCACGCUUCUAUCGUGGUCAUCUCGGUUCAAUUCCGAGCGGGGGCACCA